ACGGUUCUGGUUCACGGCCCGCACCUCGGCGCCGACCCAGCGGCC
rfam:Dermabacter sp. HFH0086 genomic scaffold acArI-supercont-complete, whole genome shotgun sequence.